rnacentral:tRNA from 1 species
GUUUAUAUAGCUUAAAUUAAAGCACAGCACUGAAGAUGCUAAGAUAGAUUUUUAUACAUCUUAUAAACA